rnacentral:rRNA from 1 species
GACGAACGCUGGCGGCGUGCUUAACACAUGCAAGUCGAACGGGCCUUGUCCCCUUUUUUUUGGGGGUGGGGUUAGUGGCGAACGGGUGAGUAACACGUGAGUAACCUGCCCCUCACUUCUGGAUAACCGCUUGAAAGGGUGGCUAAUACGGGGUGUUCUGGCCUGCUCGCAUGGGUGGGUUUGGAAAGAUUCGACCGGUUUUGGUUGUUUUGGUGGGGGAUGGGUUCGCGGCCUACCUGGUUGUUGGUGGGGUGGUGGCCUGCCGGGGCUUGUGCGGGUAGCCGGCCUGAGGGGGUGGGCGGUCACGCUGGGACUGAGACACGGCCCAGACUCCUACAGGAGGCAGCAGUGGGAAAUAUUGCACAAUGGGCGCAAGCCUGAUGCAGCGACGCCGCGUAAGGGAUGGAGGCCUUCGGGGUGUGAACCUCUUUCGCAAGUGAAGAAGGUCCUGCUCUUUGUGGUGGGGUUGACGGUAGCAGGGUUAAUGAAGCGCCGGCUAACUACGUG